CUUACUUCAGCUUGCAAAAAUUUAGUGCUACUAAUUUGAUUCAUUUGUUGUGAUUCAAUAAUUAAAUAAUCAUAUAAUAAUGUCGAAAUCACACAUAUCUUGAUAGUACUACAUUUGAUAAUUUUUUAGUGCUAUUAAGCUGAUUGAUUUUAGUAGUAAUGCAUUUGAUAGUUGAUUCAUUUCAAUUGAGUACACUAAAUAUAUGCAGUAACCUCUUUUAACUAUAUUUGAUUGACAAUAUGUAGCAAGGUGCAGAAUUCUCAGGCAAGGGAAGAUUUUUGGUUUGACCUGGAAUGAGAUGAAGAAAUUGGCCUUAAAGUUUGUUUAAGAGUGCAAAAGAGCAAGGAAUUGGAUUCCAUCAUGGAAAGCCUAUUGCUGCAUUCACCAUUUACAAAUGUCUUCUCCACCGGAAAUCAUUUGAAGCUGAAAGGACAAGUGUAUUUGAUCGCCUUAUACAAAUGAUUGGUUCUGCAAUUGAGAAUCAAGAUGACAAUGAUCUCAUGGCUUACUGGCUGUCAAAUACAUCUACACUAUUGUUUCUGCUCCAACAAAGUUUAAAAUCCGGUUGUUCAAAUGACGCAACCUGAUGGCUAACUAAAUACAAAUUAACCAUUUUCACAAUAUUUGAUGAAGUUUAAGCUUGUAUUUGGAAAGGGUAAAAUGGAGUACGAAAAUUACUUAUAAAAAUAUAGUUAUGACAGAAUGAAACAUAGAAAUAACGUGAAGAAUGAGGUGGAAAAGGUCAGAAAUGGGGCGCCACACUCUUUCUAUUGAUUAGAAAGGAUGAUAAGCCCAAA